GACAGAGGGGGCGAGCGUUGUCCGGCAUCACAGGGCGUAAAGCGCGCGCAGGCGGCAACCUCAGUGUCGUGUGAAAGCCCCCGGCUCAACCGGGGGAGGCCAUGGCAAACUGGGUCGCUCGAGCUGCGGAGAGGCCCCUCGAAUUGCCGGUGUAGCGGUGAAAUGCGUAGAGAUCGGCAGGAAGACCAAGGGGGAAGCCAGGGGGCUGGCCGCAGGCUGACGCUGAGGCGCGACAGCGUGGGGAGCAAACCGG
rnacentral:rRNA from 1 species